GCAGUCCAUGGGCAUAUACACC
rnacentral:ncRNA from 2 species